rnacentral:rRNA from 1 species
CAUGCAAGUCGAACGGAAAGGCUUCUUCGGAGGUACUCGAGUGCCGAACGGGUGAGUAACACGUGGGCAAUCUGCCCUGCACUUCGGGAUAAGCCUGGAAAACUGGGUCUAAUACCGGAUAGGACCUUAAGACGCAUGUCUUUUGGUGGAAAGCUUUUGCGGUGUGGGAUGGGCCCGCGGCCUAUCAGCUUGUUGGUGGGGUGACGGCCUACCAAGGCGACGACGGGUAGCCGGCCUGAGAGGGUGUCCGGCCACACUGGGACUGAGAUACGGCCCAGACUCCUACGGGAGGCAGCAGUGGGGAAUAUUGCACAAUGGGCGCAAGCCUGAUGCAGCGACGCCGCGUGGGGGAUGACGGCCUUAGGGUUGUAAACCUCUUUCACCAUCGACGAAGGUCCGGGUU